rnacentral:rRNA from 1 species
CGAACGAAGUGGCCUAUUGAAGAUGGAGUGCUUGCACAAAGUUGGAUAUGGAUCACCAGUGAGUGGCGGACGGGUGAGUAACACGUAGGUAACCUGCCCCGGAGCGGGGGAUAACAUUUGGAAACAGAUGCUAAUACCGCAUAACACAAAAGCCACAUGGCUUUUGUUUGAAAGAUGGCUUUGGCUAUCACUCUGGGAUGGACCUGCGGUGCAUUAGCUAGUUGGUAAGGUAACGGCUUACCAAGGCGAUGAUGCAUAGCCGAGUUGAGAGACUGAUCGGCCACAAUGGAACUGAGACACGGUCCAUACUCCUACGGGAGGCAGCAGUAGGGAAUCUUCCACAAUGGGCGCAAGCCUGAUGGAGCAACACCGCGUGAGUGAAGAAGGGUUUCGGCUCGUAAAGCUCUGUUGUUGGAGAAGAACGUGCGUGAGAGUAACUGUUCACGCAGUGACGGUAUCCAACCAGAAAGUCACGGCUAACUACGUG